GAUGAACGCUGGCGGCGUGCCUAAUACAUGCAAGUCGAGCGAACAGACGAGGAGCUUGCUCCUCUGACGUUAGCGGCGGACGGGUGAGUAACACGUGGAUAACCUACCUAUAAGACUGGGAUAACUUCGGGAAACCGUAGCUAAUACCGGAUAAUAUAUUGAACCGCAUGGUUCAAUAGUGAAAGACGGUUUUGCUGUCACUUAUAGAUGGAUCCGCGCCGCAUUAGCUAGUUGGUAAGGUAACGGCUUACCAAGGCAACGAUGCGUAGCCGACCUGAGAGGGUGAUCGGCCACACUGGAACUGAGACACGGUCCAGACUCCUACGGGAGGCAGCAGUAGGGAAUCUUCCGCAAUGGGCGAAAGCUUGACGGAGCAACGCCGCGUGAGUGAUGAAGGUCCUCGGAUCGUAAAACUCUGUUAUUAGGGAAGAACAAAUGUGUAAGUAACUAUGCACGUCUUGACGGUACCUAAUCAGAAAGCCACGGCUAACUACGUG
rnacentral:rRNA from 1 species